AUGGACACUGCUGAUUCUGAUGGGAACGAUGCUUUGCAGUUUGCUCACCAGCAUUUCAAGUUGCAGGACAAUCGUGUAACACUGCCCCCUGCUGGUGACAGCGCAGACCAAACGGAGCUCUUCAGGAGGCAGGUUUGUGGCCGUCAUCCUAGGAGAGCUGUCCAGUAUUCCCAUUUCAGUCUUUUUCACUACCUCUGCAGCUGUGAUGGGAACAAACUUCACACGGGUAUAAGAAAACAGAUGAUUCUUUUGUAUUCAUCAGAGAAUGUGAUCACCUGUCACUGCAGAAAUAUCUGUCUAUUAAUGUACCGAAAUAAAGGAGCGUGAAAUCCAAGACUUGUGCUUUUCAGCAAACUGCAGAAGCUAAAGCUGCCGAGGACAAAUGUUCUGGAAUGUUCUCGAGCCUUUUUUUAUUUUAGACGCUGCAGGUCUCCGCGUCCUUCAACUGCCCUGUAAAAGGCGACUAUUGAGCCUUAAAAGGUUGUAAAACUGUCUUUUUUUGUAGACUACAGACUGAGCUCCAGUUGAUUUAUUAUGAAGAUCAUAUAAUUAUUGUGCUUUUUUUUAUAGGCCGUGGGAAUGAGGCUGUAAUUGAGUGAAUGGAUGUCGUCUCCUUCAUGAAAUCCAUAUCACUGGUUUUUAUCGCGUACUUUGUUCAUCAGAUAAAACAGGAACAUUAGCAUUAACACCCGUUCCUAAUGAGACAAAUCCGAACAAUAAUUGUUCUUUAAUAUCUCUGAAAAUCUGUCAUUGCAGACGGAGUGUAGUUUGUGGAAAGUUAGGUUGUAUUGUUUUGUGGGGACCAUUCGCAUGAACAGCCAAUAAUAAUCAGAACAGAGUUUUAUCAACCCAACCACUCGUUGGCGCCAAAUCGACCAUUGUGGAAGUUCCGUCAUGGUACAAUUGAAUGUUGUAAAGAUGGUUAAUUUAGUGGGGACAGUCAGGAGGAGGAUCAUGGUCACUAUUACAGAUAUAAUUUGAAAAAAGGGACAGUGGUACUCACAAUUCACUGGUGAGCAGCAUGUUUAAGUCUACUACUACUACUACUACUACUACUACUACUACUACUUCUACUACUAAUAAUAGGAACUAUAACAAUAGUAAUAAUCGCUGUACUGCACAGUACAUUAACAGGCAGAACAUGAGAUCACCUGGAGGGAACCAGACGCUCAUUAAAGUCAGAGCGCCUACAUCAAACCGACUAAUAAUCAUGCACGAGGUGAUGCACAAAUCUGCCUGGCAACAGAUUUUUAAAGAACCUAAACCCCACCACCACUUCCUGCGCCAUUAGUACACACUACACGCGCUGCGGAUGGCUGGAGACCCUCAGGCAGAGUUUCUGGCUAGAUUUUAAUUACCUGUUGGGGUUUGAAUGCACAAAGAAGUUGACCUCCAAAACAGAGUUGAGCUCAAGUCCCC
rnacentral:lncRNA from 1 species